rnacentral:rRNA from 1 species
UCUACGGGUGGCAGCAGUGGGGAAUAUUGGGCAAUGGGCGCAAGCCUGACCCAGCAACGCCGCGUGAAGGAAGAAGGCUUUCGGGUUGUAAACUUCUUUGCUGAGGGACGAAGAAAGUGACGGUACCUCAGGAAUAAGCCACGGCUAACUACGUGCCAGCAGCCGCGGUAAUACGUAGGUGGCAAGGGUUAUCCGGAUUUAGUGGGGGGAAAGGGCGUGGAGGCGGGAAAGCAAGUCAGAUGUGAAAACUUAGGGCGCAACCCUGAUCCGGCUUUUGAAACCGUUUUUCUUGAGUGCUGGAGAGGCAAUCGGAAUUCCGUGUGUCGCGGUGAAAUGCGUAGAUAUACGGAGGAACCCCAGUGGGGAAGGCGGAUUGCUGGACAGUAACUGACGCUGAGGCGCGAAAGCGUGGGGAGCAAACAGGAUUAGAUACCCUAGUAGUC